rnacentral:rRNA from 1 species
GACGAACGCUGGCGGCGUGCUUAACACAUGCAAGUCGAACGAUGAAACCCUACCUUGCUGCGCUGGACUAGUGGCGAACGGGUGAGUAACACGUGAGUAACCUGCCCCUGACUUCGGGAUAACUUCAGGAAACUGUAGCUAAUACCGGAUAUGCGCCCAUGCGGCAUGGUGAUGGGUGGGAAGUUUCGGCGGUUGGGGAUGGGCUCGCGGCUUAUCAGCUUGUUGGUGGGGUAGUGGCUUACCAAGGCGUUGACGGGUAGCCGGCCUGAGAGGGUGACCGGCCACAUUGGGACUGAGACACGGCCCAGACUCCUACGGGAGGCAGCAGUGGGGAAUAUUGCACAAUGGGCGGAAGCCUGAUGCAGCAACGCCGCGUGAGGGAUGACGGCCUUCGGGUUGUAAACCUCUUUUGGCUGGGAAGAAGCGUGAGUGACGGUAACUGGUAAAGAAGCACCGGCUAACUACGUG